rnacentral:rRNA from 1 species
GACGAACGCUGGCGGCGUGCUUAACACAUGCAAUUCGAACGGAAAGGCCCUGCUUUUGUGGGGUGCUCGAGUGGCGAACGGGUGAGUAACACGUUAGUAUCCUGCCCUUGACUUUGGUAUACCUUCCGGAAACUGGGGCUAAUACCGGAUAGGAGCUCCUGCUGCAUGGUGGGGGUUGGAACGUUUCGGCGGUUGGGGAUGGACUCGCGGCUUAUCAGCUUGUUGGUGGGGUAGUGGCUUACCAAGGCUUUGACGGGUAGCCGGCCUGAGAGGGUGACCGGCCACAUUGGGACUGAGAUACGGCCCAGACUCCUACGGGAGGCAGCAGUGGGGAAUAUUGCACAAUGGGCGGAAGCCUGAUGCAGCAACGCCGCGUGCGGGAUGACGGCCUUCGGGUUGUAAACCGCUUUCGCCUGUGACGAAGCGUGAGUGACGGUAAUGGGUAAAGAAGCACCGGCUAACUACGUG